CACUUACCGACAAACAGCACAGGUAAGCGGGUAGCAAGCAAUACAGGAAGUAUUGCAUCUACAAUAGAACUCUACUGAAAAAUAUGGACGGCAGACCCGCCCUUGGAAAAGUGGAAGAUCUCGCCACUUUGGCGAAACUCGACGAUAAAGUUCUUCUUGAGGAAUUACGAGCAAGAUACAGAAAUAAUGACAUAUACACUUAUGUCGGAGACAUAUUGAUAGCAGUGAACCCUUUCCGGGAGAUUCCAGGGCUGUAUGAGGAUUCUGAAAGUCAGCGAUAUUUCUUGGAGCAAAAGAGCUCCAAUCCGCCACACAUAUUUGCUAUUGCGGAUUCGACAUACCAGAAUAUCAUCGGCUAUGGAGGACGUGUUCCACAUAACCAGUGUGUGCUUAUCAGUGGGGAAAGUGGAGCGGGAAAGACAGAGAGCACCAAGCUCAUCAUCAAACAGUUGGUCGAGCUUUGUAGGGGCAACACACAGCUGGAACAACAAAUUUUACAGGUUAAUCCCCUCCUGGAGUCCUUUGGAAAUGCCCAGACUCUAAUGAACGACAACUCCAGCCGGUUUGGGAAAUACAUACAGCUCAUGUUUAAAGAAGGACAUAUAAUGGGAGCAAAGAUAUCGGAAUACCUGCUGGAGAAGUCGAGGGUUGUCAGUCAGGGGAAGAACGAGGAGAAUUUCCACAUAUUCUACUACAUGUUUGCUGGUUUAUCCAAAGAGUACAAGGCAGCUCAUCAUCUCCAGUCGGCAGAUAAGUUCAGGUAUCUGACCAAUGGGGCGUCGUCCCUGAGCAGAGACCCCGCCCUCAUGAAGAGUCGAUACGAGGAGUUGGUCAAUGCCAUGGAUAUGGUGGGAUUCACGGAUGAGGAUCAGAUGAGUACGUUCAACAUGAUAGCCAGUGUACUACACCUGGGAAAUGUCACAUUUGACAUGGAUGAUAACGAUGCUGCCUUUGUUAAGGACGAGGAUGGAGCAGUCAAAGUGGCCUCUCAACUUCUGGGUAUCAACACACAGGAAGUGGUGGGGACGCUCACCGCAAUGGUCACAUUCACCCGCGGAGAACAGGUCAAGCGCAACUACAGUGCUGAGCAAGCUAGAGAUGCAUGUGAUGCCAUGGCCAAGGCUAUCUACGGCCGACUUUUUGGAUGGAUCGUCAACAAAGUAAACCAGUUACUGGCCCCUCCUGUGAUGCACGCAGAACAUAAAGAGAUUGGUAUUCUGGACAUCUUUGGUUUUGAACAUUUUGAGAAGAACAGCUUUGAACAAGCAUGCAUCAAUCUGGCGAACGAACAGCUGCAGUUUUUCUUCAAUCAGCAUGUGUUCAAACUGGAGCAGGAUGAGUAUACAAAGGAGGGUAUCGACUGGACGGAGAUCAAAUUCGUGGAUAAUCAACCUCUCCUGAAUUUGUUCCUGAACAAACCCAUUGGAAUCCUAUCACUGCUGGAUGAAGAGACCAACUUCCCAAAGGGAUCAGAUAGGUCCUUUGUUGACAAACUGGAUAUUCAUUUCCAUGGCAACGGUUACUAUACAAAGUCACAGCAGAGUACAUCAGGAAAAUUCACAAUCCAUCAUUAUGCUGGCAAGGUGACCUAUGACUCUUCGUCCUGGCUGGAAAAGAAUCGAGACACCCUUCCUCCGGGCGUCAUGGAGAUGUUACAGGGCAGUACAGACGACCUUGUCAAGCUCAUGUUCAGAGGUCAGGUGACCAGAACAGGAAGUUUAGCUCUUCAAUGCAGAAAGUCUACAAGCAGACGGACACGCAGAAGCAAGAAACCAUCAAUGUACGGACGCAAAAGAAAAAUCACUGUUGGAGGUCAGUUCAAGAACUCCUUACAAAUACUCAUGGAGAGAAUGAUGUCUUCCUCGCCCGUGUUUGUGCGAUGCUUGAAGCCAAACCAUGUCAAGGUUCCCGGCAAGUUUGACGAAACGUACAUCAGAGAUCAGUUGUUAUACACUGGAAUGCUGGAGACAAUCAAGAUUAGAAGAGAGGGGUUCGCAGUCCGUCCAUCCUUCCCGGAAUUUGUGGAAAAAUACAAGAUUAUCCUGUGUAAACCGAGUCUGGAGGGUAACAAACAAAACUGUGUGCAGAUUCUCAAGGCCAGUAAAAUCACCGGGUGGCAAGUCGGGAAAACCAGAGUUUUUAUGAAGUACUAUCACCUUGAACAGUUGUCUGAAAUCUUCAAGGUUAUGGGGAAGUCUGCUAUUCAUCUUCAGAGAGUUGUGAGAGGUUUCCUGGCCCGACAAUAUGUCAAAGUAAAGAAGCAGGAGGCACAGAAGCAAGCACAGCGUUUGCACAAUUUCCUCGCUCAGAUAAACAACCUGUCUAUAGAAUUCAGCAACCACCAACACAGUGCCCGGGUCCACGACGAAUCAAUCCCUGCUUCUUAUUUUACAGGAGGAGAGAAUGAGUUACCUCCCCCUCCUGUUCCUUCUUUUUAUGGUGUGCUUACUCCUCGAAGCUCGGGGAACAAGUACAUGGACCCUGUUGCUCCCACUUCUCGUGAAUUCGGCACACAGGCGGACGAUUCCGAUUCCGAUCAGUUUUCUGACGAUGAGUUCAAACCUGUAUCGUCCACCCAAUUUGGUACACCAGGAACACGUCAGGCAACCGUGAAAUGGUUCAAGGAGACACAAGCCCAGCAGGUUUACGACCCAGCAGUCAGCAGCUUCAUCGCCGAGUGGUUCCAUGGAGUCAUCAGUCGGAGAACCUCUGAGAUCCUUCUGGGCUCCAAACCGAUUGGCUGUUUCCUAAUACGAGUCAGUGAAAGCCGAUUUGGGUACAGCUUAUCAUUCAGGGGUGAGGGUAGAGUAAGACAUUACAUGAUUGAUCAACUACCCAAUAAAAAGUUUGUGGUUGUGGGCGAGAAAAAGGUGCAUCGAACACUGAAGGAUCUGGCCGACUACUACAGCACGAAUCAUCUCUCUAAUUGGGAUGGAUUUUUGUCUAAUCCUUGUGGACAGGAGGAAGGGGACUGUGAUUACCAAGAACUGAUAGCCGACAACUACUAUUUUAAGCUUGAGAGUCAGCAGGAACCACCCAAGAGGCCGAUCUCUUCAGGCCCUAGAAGACAACAGGCCAGUAGAGUAAGGGGAAGUUAUAUCCCCGGUGUUCCACCCCAGAGAGACUCUACUGUGUCAGGACCCCCAAUUCCGGACCGUAAGUACACCAUGCCAAACAAUUCGGCUGGCAAGAGCGGUGUGCGCUCGUCUACGGCAAUGAGCGGAAGACCUCUCCCAAAACGACCUGACGAAGCCCACAAGAGGCUUCUCCAAAAUCAGUUCAAUGACCAGCAAGAAGACUAGUGCCGAUGGCGUCCAUUCUAUAUUUGGAUGUUGAACUUGGUCAACGGUCAUAAGUUAGCUGGAACGACAGCGGACCCAGUUCGACUAUUGAUGGGAGUUGCAACUAUGGAAGUUAGUGCUGAACUAAAAUGUAGCAUCAUACUCACGAUUCGUUCUACAUCAGUGACGAAACCUUCUGUUAUCAGAUUAAGUCUGACUGCUUAGUUGAAGAAACUUUGUCCAAUUUCGGUGAUGUUAUAUAUUUGCUUUGUUAGUGUGCAAACAGUUAAUAUACGAAAAGUGCAUAUAUACUCAGUUGCUUGAUUAAAACAUUUAUGGUACCCUAUCAUCACUUACUCUUUCCAUUUACAUAAAACUAAGGAAACGACCCAUUUUCACUUUCAAACCCAACGCAAGGUAAUGUGAUGUUUAAAAUAUACACUAUGAUUUCUUUUAAUACUUCACUGGACUAUCAACUUGUAUUCAUAUUCAUAAUUCCGGGUUAUCUCAUUGUAUUGUCUGGAACUGUAUACUUUCAAGGAUGUCUCAUGUUGCUGUAUUACAAUUCACUUAAAAGAAACACAUAUAUAAGCACAAAUUUAUAUCACAUUGUAUAGUGCAUUUCUAUGUAAAACAAACAUGCGUGAUAUACGAUAUCGUUUAAAUUUAUCUGUUAUAACAAAAUAUAUUCAUUUAGUAACAUACUGUAAAAGUCUUAUCUUAUCGAACUCAAAUUUCAGCGUAUUAUGGUUUCUUAAAUCAUUAGCGCGUUGAUGAAUUGGCGCACUUGCACCCGAUAUGCAAAUGCAAUUGGAAACUAUGUACAGAAACUUCAAUUAGGGCAGUCAUAAUAUAGUGCAAUAUUGAAUUUCGAAAAGCGGUGAAAUUAGAAUACCGCUAAAAUAUGUACGUUUACAAUAUCUGAAAUCAUACAACUUCAUUGUCACUCUCUUGUUUUCAGUAUGAAAUUUGUUAAUGUAUAUUUUCUAUGCUUUUUUUGCCUGUCUGUUGACUUUGUUGCAAUUAUGUAUUUAUAUAUAGGCGUACGAUUUUCCAUUAUGUAUUCACAAUAUCUUAACAAUUAAAUAUUUUAAUGUAUUAUACCUUUAUGCAUACAUUUUUAAUAUGUAUAGUACAUAUACUGAUCUGAGCUCUAUGGAUAGCUCGUUGUUGUUGUGCAAUUUCAUUUUUUUUUUAUUUAGAUAACUUUGAAACUCCAACUUUAGAAUAUAAUUAUUUGAAAGAAUGAUUCAAAUUUCUUUUUGGAAAUGAAUCAUCUCAAGCGUGUUUUCCCAUGAAAAAACAUGUUACUUUAAUAAUUCUUAUAAUUAUUAUUUUUAAUUAUUCUUAUAACACGCGUUAAAUGGUGAUAAUUUUGCAUAUGACUUAAUGGUGUAAAAGAGUUUAAAAUUCAAACCUGCAUGUGUCGUCACAGUUGUUUUGUCUUUUUUUCUCCUAAUGUUUAGAACUGCGUCUUUAAGAUAACAUAUUUUUAAAAACAUAUACUGUUACUGAUGUUGUAUAUUGUCAGUACUAACAGCUCAUCACUGCUGUGAUAUACAUAAGUAUCAAAAUCAAAACGAGUUAUCAAUUAUUAUCAGGCACAUCAUAUGUCUCUACUUCUUAUUGUAAUACUUUUAUAUGAUCUAUCAAACACUCGGGCCUUUAUCACGAACUCGAAUAAGCCGUUACUAGCUAAUUUGGAGCCGUAUUGUUUGUACAGUUGGCCUCAAUAACACAGACAUUUUACCUAAAAACAUUUUCGGAAUAACAAGUUUUCUGGAUUAUGUCGUUUUUUUUGAAAACGUCCAGAAAGCAGAUUUUGUCAUAUUACUGGAUAUAUUACAAGCGGUAAUUCGCCAAAACGGAUUUGUUUCGAGCACUUGAAAGUCAUUGCGUGUUGUAAUCUUGAACACAUUUUCAUAAAGUAGGAUGUUGAUAUCUAAAAUAAAAAUAAAAAAUGUAUUAUUGCAGCCGUUAAGAAUCCCUGUGCCACUGAACUGUAGUUUUUACUAUAUACAGUAACCUCCCCUUAACUUCCGUUUGGAUGCAACUGUAGAACACUUCUGAAUUCCGCGCCCGGGUCGCACUUCAAACUGAUAUUUUAGAAACAAAUCGUCACUUUCACACA
rnacentral:misc_RNA from 1 species